rnacentral:rRNA from 1 species
CAGCCGCCGCGGUAACACCGGCGGCUCGAGUGGUGGCCACUUUUAUUGGGUCUAAAGCGUCCGUAGCCGGCUUGGCAAGUCCCCUGGGAAAUCUGGCGGCUUAACCGUCAGGCGUCCAGAGGAUACUGCCAGGCUUGGGACCGGGAGAGGUGAGAGGUACCUCAGGGGUAGGGGUGAAAUCUUGUGAUCCCUGAGGGACCACCAGUGGCGAAGGCGUCUCACUAGAACGGGUCCGACGGUCAGGGACGAAAGCUGGGGGCACGAACCGGAUUAGAUACCCGGGUAGUCCCAGCCGUAAACGAUGCUCGCUAGGUGUCAGGCAUGGCAUGACUGUGCCUGGUGCCGAAGGGAAGCCGUGAAGCGAGCCACCUGGGAAGUACGGCCGCAAGGCUGAAACUUAAAGGAAUUGGCGGG